rnacentral:rRNA from 1 species
GAUGAACGCUAGCUACAGGCUUAACACAUGCAAGUCGAGGGGCAGCGCAGUGUAGCAAUACAGUGGGCGGCGACCGGCGCACGGGUGCGUAACGCGUAUCCAACUUCCCGAUACUCAGGGGAUAGCCUUCCGAAAGGGAGAUUAAUACCUGAUGGUGUUCAAAUUCCGCAUGUUAUUUGAACUAAAGAUUUAUCGGUAUCGGAUGGGGAUGCGUGACAUUAGAUAGUUGGCGGGGUAACGGCCCACCAAGGCGACGAUGCGUAGGGGUUCUGAGAGGAAGGUCCCCCACACUGGUACUGAGACACGGACCAGACUCCUACGGGAGGCAGCAGUGAGGAAUAUUGGUCAAUGGGCGCAAGCCUGAACCAGCCAAGUCGCGUGAGGGAAGACGGCCCUACGGGUUGUAAACCUCUUUUGUCGGGGAGCAAAUUGAUGACGCGUCAUCAGGUGAGAGUACCCGAAGAAAAAGCAUCGGCUAACUCCGUG